rnacentral:rRNA from 1 species
CAGUAGCCGCGGUAAAACAGAGGGUGCGAGCGUUAAUCGGAUUUACUGGGCGUAAAGCGUGCGUAGGCGGCUUCUUAAGUCGGAUGUGAAAUCCCUGAGCUUAACUUAGGAAUUGCAUUCGAUACUGGGAAGCUAGAGUAUGGGAGAGGAUGGUAGAAUUCCAGGUGUAGCGGUGAAAUGCGUAGAGAUCUGGAGGAAUACCGAUGGCGAAGGCAGCCAUCUGGCCUAAUACUGACGCUGAGGUACGAAAGCAUGGGGAGCAAACAGGAUUAGAGACCCCGGUAGUCCCUGUCUCUUAUAA